rnacentral:rRNA from 1 species
ACGAACGCUGGCGGCGUGCCUAAUCCCUGCCAGUCGAACGCUUCUUUCCUCCCGAGUGCUUGCACUCAAUUGGAAAGAGGAGUGGCGGACGGGUGAGUAACACGUGGGUAACCUACCCAUCAGAGGGGGAUAACACUUGGAAACAGGUGCUAAUACCGCAUAACAGUUUAUGCCGCAUGGCAUAAGAGUGAAAGGCGCUUUCGGGUGUCGCUGAUGGAUGGACCCGCGGUGCAUUAGCUAGUUGGUGAGGUAACGGCUCACCAAGGCCACGAUGCAUAGCCGACCUGAGAGGGUGAUCGGCCACACUGGGACUGAGACACGGCCCAGACUCCUACGGGAGGCAGCAGUAGGGAAUCUUCGGCAAUGGACGAAAGUCUGACCGAGCAACGCCGCGUGAGUGAAGAAGGUUUUCGGAUCGUAAAACUCUGUUGUUAGAGAAGAACAAGGACGUUAGUAACUGAACGUCCCCUGACGGUAUCUAAACAGAAAGCCACGGCUAACUACGUG